UAGGGAAUAUUGCACAAUGGGCGAAAGCCUGAUGCAGCAACGCCGCGUGCGCGAUGAAGGCCUUCGGGUCGUAAAGCGCUUUUCGGGGAGAUGAGGAAGGACAGUAUCCCCGGAAUAAGGCUCGGCUAACUACGUGCCAGCAGCCGCGGUAAAACGUAGGAGCCAAGCGUUAUCCGAAUUCACUGGGCGUAAAGCGUGUGCAGGCGGACUGGUAAGUUGGAUGUGAAAUCUCCUGGCUCAACUGGGAGAGGCCGUUCAAUACUGUCAGACUAGAGGGCAACAGAGGAAGGUGGAAUUCCCGGUGUAGUGGUGAAAUGCGUAGAUAUCGGGAGGAACACCAGUGGCGAAGGCGACCUUCUGGGUUGUACCUGACGCUCAGACACGAAAGCUAGGGGAGCGAACGGG
rnacentral:rRNA from 1 species